UAAAAAUGUGAAGCAGCCAGUCUGUGCCGGGAAUUGAGGACACCAUAUGCUUGCAUUUCUAGGUCUUCCUAAGAGUUAUAUAACUGCCCCCAAAGCCAGGAGCAGGAGCGGGGCCAGCUGUGGGAAAUGGUUUCCAAAGAGGAAUGCUGAGGAAGGACUGACCUUGAGGAGACAGCCAGUUCACCAGGCCAUGGAAUGUUCCCAGCCUUGGGGCUUAAACAAAAACCGCAUUCAGAGAGAGGCACCAGGAACUGAACCCGGGAUCUCCCACAUGAGAAGCAAGCACUCAACCGCUUGAGCCACAUCCGCUCCCCCUAUAAAACUUUUAUUAAAAUAACUCCCACAUAGAAAAAAGGCAGCAAUGUUCUGGUGGAAAAAGGGGCGAGGGGUUCUCAGCCUCCCUUCUGCCCUGCCUUCUCGCACCCCCCACUCCAGGGUAUCUCCCAGCAGGCUGACUUACUUCUGAGAGCAGUGUGAGAACCCCUGGCUUAGAAGCUACCUGGGUUCCCCAAAGUUCGGGGUCUGAGGCAGUUUUCAUCACAACGGCGUGUUUCACUGGUGCGUGGGGGUAGGUUUGGGCACAGCAAGGGUCUUUGCAAGUAUCUGCAGAGGACUGUGGUAGGCUAAGCAGAGUGGGGGAGCCUCCUUACUGUCCACGCACCUGAGUCAGCGGUGCAAGAUGUCCGAGGAGGACGAAUUCCCUCUAAUCACAACCCUCUAAUCUGGAGAUCAUUAUUUGUUCACUCCAUCGGCUUCAACCCAGUUUCCUUGUUGGUCUGAACAAACUGCUCUCUUGAAAGAUAACUUAUCUACUAAGCAGAGAGAACCUACCAGGGGAAAGUGCCCUCAAGAGGGAGGAGCCGGUGGACGAGACCAGGGUGGGGGGGCACGGACCAUCCCGCCCCUCCCGGUUCCUCCCGAGUCCGUGGGAAACCUUCAGCAGAGCGGGUGGGGGGCAGCGGGGACGGGCGCCGGCGUGUGGGAUUGUGUGGGUUCCUUUUAGCCCCCGCCUCCCCACCCAUCUGCACAGCUCAGAAGUGGGCAGCACAAAGGAGCAGGGGGAUGGACAAAGCGUCUCAGAAACGCACGGGAGCCUGCCCUAUGGUCAUCCGGCAGGCGGUGGCGUUCAGUGCAGCGCCCGAGGUCAGGACGCCCGGUGUUUGCAUGAAGCCGACACCGGCAGUGCCCGCCUCUGAGCAGCAGGGCCAGCUCGCAGCACUCAGGGACGCGUUGCCGGGUGGUGGGGGCUGAGAGCAGGCGGCCCUGCAGUAAAGAGAGCUCUCUCACCUUUUCCUUAAGUGCCUUCUGGCACAUACUAACUUUCUGAAAUGGUGCUAUCUGAUGCUAAAUUAGGAACAAAUUAUAUGGAAGAGAACCACUUUUUAAUGCACAGCAUGUCCUAACGGACUGUGUAGAGAGAUUUCUGCUUCUUAGACAAACCUUGGUCUAGAAACACUUGAGGCUACAGGGAGGGGAUCUCCUGAAAGAGAAAGCAGGACAGCCCGAGGGUCUGGAACAGGGAGAAGCACCUCAGCUUCAGUUUACCGUAUCCCCAUACUCCGAGGGCCUGGAAACCUGUUAGGUGAGGUUCUUCUCCAUCAAGAAGUGAGGCUGGUAAGGCAGCAGUGGAGGUAUGGCCAUGCCACCCAAGGUGGGACAUCGAGAAAUGGGUCAGGCAAACCCAUCUACUAAGAGACAUGAGGGAAGCGGAUGUCGCUCCAGCCCUUGGGUGCCUGCCUACCACACGGGAAGUCCCAGGUUCAGUUCCUGG
ensembl:lincRNA